AUAUGCAUGUCGGUUGUCGCUGGCCGCGCGCGCUCGCCGCUUGUUACUUGUUACCGAGCUGCGGAUCAUGCGAGCAGCGCGGCGCGACGCCAUCGCUGCCAAAGGGGGCAUUGCCCGAUAAUAAACGGUAACGGGCCUUUCGCCUUUUUACGAGAUAAGAGCAACAGUUUUCAUAAAUCCUGUUGGCUCCCCAGCAGGGUAAAAACACUCUCCCAUUGGUGGAUAUUCUUUAGGGGAGGCUUGAAUGAAGAAAUAUAUUCAUUGGGCGUCGCGACGCUCGAUAAUAGUCAUGCGCAUUAUGAGAAAAACAUGGAAGUUGCCCGUUGCCCGAGAAAAGCAAAGCAAAAGAAGGCACUAGUGCCCGUUGCGGUUCUUCGCCGCCAGCGCACGGGAAUCGUGUGGGUCGCUGCGAUCCGACUAACGGAACGACCGUUGUUUUUACCUUUUCUUUUACGCGCACCUACCGGCGCGAUGCAACUACAACCGAUGCUUUUCCAACUCUGAGGAAUCGCAAGUGCGCGACGAUGUUAUGUAAGAGGACGCGCCCAGAGUAUCAUCACCAGACACAUACAGACACACUAAAUGCGUAAGUGAGGACGCAGAGGUGAAGUGAAAAUGGUGGAUGAGCGUGAGUCAAACAGGAAGUUUUGUAACGGAGUAAUGCACUAAUGCACAAGUGCAGCAAACCAAGCAAAAGGGCCACAAAAACAAUCAUUUACUACCGAGUGUUUCCAUAAAACAUAAAAACAGAAAAAAUAAACACAAACCAAAAAAGACUAAAAAAUAAAAAUAAAAUACUUGGCUAAAUUUUUACAAGAAUUUUUGACCUAUUGAAACACUCGGUAUAUAAAUCAUAAACACCACGAAUUGUGCAUCCAUCCAUUAGUAAUGAAACCAACACGAGAGCAAAAAAAUAAAUAACAACCAGCCUAGAUAGAUAAAAACAGGAAGAGGCCGCGAGUAUCAUUUAUAAUAACAGUGCGCACGCGGUGAUCCAAACGUAAGAACGGUAGGAAGUUAAUUAAUUAAACUUUUAAUUAUACCAUUCACGUAAUCAGUAGAUACCAACCAACGUGCACGACAGCCAGCGAGAUAAAUCACUCACGGCGAGCGGGCAAAACAACUCCAUAGUUCUCAGCUUUUUUUUUUAUUUUCAAAAACUAAAAAUGUCUACAAUUACAACCAACAACAAUGCACUUUGCACUCAGAAAUAUGUUUUUCAUAUAUAAAAUUUAUGUGAAAUAAAAGCCGGCGUGAUUUACGAGCACAUCGCAUCCAUUGGUGAACGUUUCGUCGCGCAUCGAAAACUCCAAUAUGUGAGAGAGGUUCCGUGAGGUGAGAGAGGUGCCCGAGACCCAUUAGGAACUUAUUUAUGUAAUAAGUAAUAAUAAUGAGUGUUUUAUGGAUUCGAUAAUAAAUCGUUUGUUCCUUGGUCAUGCCAUUACCAUCACAUUCACAAUCCACAUGUAUUACAACGAUAUUUAAUAAA